rnacentral:rRNA from 1 species
UACGUAGGAGGCAAGCGUUGUCCGGAAUUACUGGGCGUAAAGCGCGUGUAGGUGGUGGGACAAGUCUGCUGUGAAAGCGCCUGGCUUAACCGGGCGAGGUCGGCGGAAACUGCCCGACUCGAGGACGGUAGAGGGGGGUGGAAUUCCCGGUGUAGUGGUGAAAUGCGUAGAGAUCGGGAGGAACACCUGUGGCGAAGGCGGCCCCCUGGGCCGGCCCUGACACUGAGACGCGAAGGCGUGGGGAGCAAACGGG